UAACCACAUAGUUCAUUGACCUCUCAAAAUAUUUUAUGACAUCCGAUAACAAUGUGUACCAUUUGUUUUCAUCUCAUUGAACCCUAAAUUCGUUAUCUCAAGGGAAAUUUGUCAUAAUUCUACAUGUGUAAAACAGUCAUCAAUAAUCAAAAAUACAAUAUCAGUUGUACACAAUAAAUUGAAAAAAAAAACAAACUUCAUAACAAAUACACAGCAAAAAAAAAAACUUCAGACUUUAUAUUUUUCUAUUGUUAUCUUUUUUUUUCUUUUCUUUAUAAUUAUAACUAGCUACUUUACUAAAAAGCAAAUUAACGACUAAGAAAAAUUUAACUAAUGCUAAAACACAAAACUAACUACA
rnacentral:lncRNA from 1 species